rnacentral:rRNA from 1 species
UACGAGGGGUGCAAGCGUUGUUCGGAAUUACUGGGCGUAAAGGGCUCGUAGGCGGCCAACUAAGUCGGAUGUGAAAUCCCCAGGCUUAACCUGGGAACUGCAUCCGAUACUGGAUGGCUUGAAUCCGGGAGAGGGAUGCAGAAUUCCAGGUGUAGCGGUGAAAUGCGUAGAUAUCUGGAGGAAUACCGGUGGCGAAGGCGGCAUCCUGGACCGGCAUUGACGCUGAGUGAGCGAAAGCCAGGGGAGCAAACGGG